rnacentral:misc_RNA from 1 species
GGAAGUAAAAGUCAUAACAAGGUUUCCGUAGGUGAACCUGCGGAAGGAUCAUUCAUAAUAAGUGUUUUAUGGCACUUUUUUAAAUCCAUAUCCACCUUGUGUGCAAUGUCAGGGUUGAUUUUUCUCUCGAGAGGAUCAACCCCAAACAUCAACUAUAUCUCAACUCUUUGUCUGAAAAAUAUUAUGAAUAAAACAAUUCAAAAUACAACUUUCAACAACGGAUCUCUUGGCUCUC